GACGAACGCUGGCGGCGUGCUUAACACAUGCAAGUCGAACGGAAAGGCCCUGCUUUUGUGGGGUUCUCGAGUGGCGAACGGGUGAGUAACACGUGAGUAACCUGCCCUUGACUUUGGGAUAACUUCAGGAAACUGGGGCGAAUACCGGAUAGGAGCUCCUGCUGCAUGGGGGGGGUUGGAAAGUUUCGGCGGUUGGGGAUGGACUCGCGGCUUAUCAGCUGGUUGGUGGGGUAGUUGCUUACCAGGGCUUUGACGGGUAGCCGGCCUGGGAGGGUGACCGGCCACAUUGGGACUGAGAUACGGCGCAGACUCCUACGGGAGGCAGCAGUGGGGAAUCUUGCACAAUGGGCGGAAGCCUGAUGCAGCAACGCCGCGUGCGGGAUGACGGCCUUCGGGUUGUAAACCGCUUUCGCCUGUGACGAAGCGUGAGUGACGGUAAUGGGUAAAGAAGCACCGGCUAACUACGUG
rnacentral:rRNA from 1 species